GAUGAACGCUGGCGGCGUGCCUAAUACAUGCAAGUCGAGCGAACAGACGAGGAGCUUGCUCCUCUGACGUUAGCGGCGGACGGGUGAGUAACACGUGUAUCACCUACUUAUAAGACUGGGAUAACUUCGGGAAACUGGAGCUAAUACCGGAUAAUAUAUUGAACCGCAUGGUUCAAUAGUGAAAGACGGUUUUGCUGUCACUUAUAGAUGGAUCCGCGCCGCAUUAGCGAGUUGGUAAGGUAACGGCUUACCAAGGCAACGAUGCGUAGCCGACCUGAGAGGGUGAUAGGCCACACUGGAACUGAGACACGGUCCAGACUCCUACGGGAGGCAGCAGUCGGGAAUCUUCCGCAAUGGGCGAAAGCCUGACGGAGCAACGCCGCGUGAGUGAUGAAGGUCUUCGGAUCGUAAAACUCUGUUAUUAGGGAAGAACAAAUGUGUAAGUAAAUAUGCACGUCUUGACGGUACCUAAUCAGAAAGCCACGGCUAACUACGUG
rnacentral:rRNA from 1 species